rnacentral:tRNA from 1 species
GGUUGUGGCUUAGUGGUAGAGCAUUGCCUAGCACACAUGAGGCACUGGGUUCAAUCCUCAGCACCA